rnacentral:rRNA from 1 species
AACGAACGCUGGCGGCAUGCCUAACACAUGCAAGUCGAACGAGACCUUCGGGUCUAGUGGCGCACGGGUGCGUAACGCGUGGGAACCUGCCCUUAGGUUCGGAAUAACUCCCCGAAAGGGGUGCUAAUACCGGAUAAUGUCUUCGGACCAAAGAUUUAUCGCCUUUGGAUGGGCCCGCGUUGGAUUAGCUAGUUGGUAGGGUAAAAGCAUACCAAGGCGACGAUCCAUAGCUGGUCUGAGAGGAUGAUCAGCCACGCUGGGACUGAGACACGGCCCAGACUGCGACGGGAGGGAGCAGUGGGGAAUAUUGGACGAGGGGCGAAAGCCUGAUCCAGCAAUGCCGGGUGAGUGAUGAAGGCCUUAGGGUUGUAAAGCUCUUUUACCCGGGAUGAUAAUGACAGUACCGGGAGAAUAAGCACCGGCUAACUACGUG